rnacentral:rRNA from 1 species
UGCGGUUAAACAAAAGUUAAAUUAAAUUUUUUUAGGAUUUAAUAAAUAAAUAUUUAAAAUAAUAAUUUAAAUUUUAAAUUAUCAGGUGAAAUUUUAAUUUAAUUAAAAUUUAUUUAUUUUUAUGAUAUUAAUAGAUUUUAUAAAAAACUAGGAUUAGAUACCCUAUUAUAAAAAUUUAAAUUAAAUAAUCUUAAAAUAGUAUAUAAUUUUUUAUAGAAACUUAAAUAAUUUGGCGGUAUUUUAGUUCAUUUAGAGGAAUCUGUCUAAUAAUUGAUAAUCCACGAUUAAAUUUACUUAAUUUUUAAUUUUGUAUAUCGUUGUUAAAAAAAUAUUUUUAAAUAAUUAUAAUAUUUUAAAAUUUAUAUUGUGAAAUUAAAUCAGAUCAAGAUGCAGAUUAUAAUUAAGAAUAUGAUGGAUUACAAUAAAUUUUAUUUUAUUUGGAUAUUAAUUUGAAAUAAAUUAAUUAAAAUUGGAUUUAAAUGUAAUUUUUUUAAUUUUGUUAAAAUGAUUAAAAAUUAAAAUAUGUACAUAUUGCCCGUCGCUUUCAUUUAUAAAUUGAAAUAAGUCGUAACAAAGUAGAGGUACUGGAAAGUGUUUCUAGAAAGAU